AGAACCAGCCAGACAGCCCGUCCGCCGAGCUGCCCACCCGGCCGAGCUGUUCUUUGUGUAUGCCAACAUGCCGACAUGCUGUAAUUUGUUAGUUCAAGAUCAUAUACUGGAAAAUUGUAUCCAAACUGAAGUAUAAUUUGACAAGCCUGCUUGCUGUAGCCACAGGGGAAUUUUCAAGGACAAGAACCAGUGCUGGUAAAAAUGUGGUCUCAUGUGGUUUUCCAUACCGGCAUUCAGCAAGGAUUUCAGAGAAAGGAAUACUGUCUCCAAAUCAUGAUGUGCCAAUAAGCUCCAGUUAGCUGUGCCUUUUUCCUCCCACCGGUAGUCCUUCAAUCUGAAUCCAGGAGAUGCAGCUCUGAAUCCAAUAUUUCAGGAGAAUGAAUACCGAAAACUGAAGCCUUCAGAAAGUCAAUGCCACCAUGGUAUUGAUUUAUUCAGCCCUGAUGUACUCAGCUGUGAUGUAACAUGCCUUCAAGCCACUAUCCGAAGAACAUAUGUUCUAAAUGGACCAUUGCCCUGUUGCCAUGGAAAUCAUUAUGAGGAGGAGCACACAAACUGUCACUUGUUUUGGAUAUCAGAUGUACCACGAAAUGACCAUAAACUUUUCAGAUGCUCUGUUUAUUUCAUCAGCCAAUUUCGAUGUAAAUUUUACUGAAAAAUGACAAACAGUCUUACUCAUAAGCAUCUCUUACUCACUCGUAUUCCACAACUAAACAUGCUUGCAAUUACACUGUGCCAUCUAUCAUAAUAUAGCAAUGCUGCAAUGUCCACAUUUUUUUGUACCAGUUGUUGCUUUAUACUGAAACUUUUAUUGAAAAUGGUGCAUAAACACUGACAACACAUCAAUGUUUCGUUCAUACAUUUGUACAUGUUCUUUCAGUGUUGAUAAUGUUGACAUAUUGCAUGUACAUUUACACAUGUGUUUAUUGCCAACCUCAUCAAAACAUGCAUAGUUUGCUCACAUACAUAUUUCCAAAACAGACAUUUACUGAAUGUAUUACUACUUUACGUUGAUUUUGAUAUGUAAAUAAAACAUUGUACUACUUGUUUGUACAAAACACUU